CUGCACUGGAGGUUAGGAUGCUGAAUACAUACCAUUCUGCAGAAAAAUACAGAGCAGCAACAGCCAUCUUUUAAUAUUAUUUACCUCUCCUUGAAGUGAACAGGAUGGCAAAGAUACAAGGUGAUGUGUCUCUUCACAAGAACAGGGCUCCCACUAUGAAGGUUAAUCACAAAAAAGUGACUGGACAGCAUCCAAACUAAGUGAUUACUAGCAAAGAGUGGCUCAUGACAGAGCCUGGAGAAAGAGGUGUGGAGUAGAAUUCUGCUGUGUGGGGCCCUGAAUGUUUGUUUCUGCUCCCGACUCCAAGUGAUUACUAGAAAUAGCUCUCAUGCCAGAGGUAUGAGCCUAAAGUGGGGAACGCUGCAAAUGAAGAUUUGAAAAGAAAAAAAGAAAACUUUCUCCAGUACCAUGUAUUUGAUCCAGUCCUGCCCUCUAGUAGCAUAACUGCUUUUACUUCAUCACCAAUCAUCAUCAUCAUCAUCAUCAUCUUUUAUUACAGUCAUAGACCAUGCUUUUACUUUAAAAUAUAUGUGCGGAACUGAAUUAUGGUUAUUCCGUCCUAGUUUGAUCCUGAUUGAGGAAUAUGUUCUCUUAAGACAUAUCAUCAACAUGACUGUGGUUUGGAAGCUGCGAGUCACCUCAAGUCUGCAUUUACUAAGAAAACACAAGCUUUUAAAAUAAUGCAGCCCUUUCCCUCCUCUGAAUAAGAAAAGAAAGACAGACAGAUCCCUGAAGUAUCAUCAUAUACAAUUUCCUCUAGCGGGGAUGAUUUGUGUGAAAAUGGAUCUCAAGUGACAUUUAUUAGUCACAUUGGUUUAUACACUGUUCUUCUAACACACCUCACAGUUCUGAAAAUAGACAUAGCUUGUAUAUAUUACCAUAGAAAUGUGUUAAACUCCACAGCUGAACAGAGAAGUAACUUGUUUUAAGCAACUUACAGUUUUUUCAACUAAUACAAUUAUGCAGGUAACUGAUUAGUCAAAUAGUAAUUUCACAUUAUCUGUGUUAUGCCAAACCAAUUUGAACAGUUCUCUCUGCCCAUCUUUUAAAAAAAAAAAUCCUUGGCUUAAUACAUGCAUAUAUUUGAAUAGUUUGAAUUACAAAAUUUACUUCUAUUCAUGCCUUAUACACUGUACAGUGAAUUUUUCUCAUGUUGUGUGAGGAGACAGCACUCUCCCCAGCUGCCUUCACAUGAUGCUGGCACAUACAUGGCCUCCGCACAUGUGCGGUGGCCAUUUGCAUGGUGAGCAUGGUUGUUGACCAUGCAAAUGGCCUCUGUGCAUGUGUGGAGGCUGUGCAUAUGUAUGUGUCAUGUGAGGACAGCUGGUGAGGGUGCCACCAGCAUAUGAUGAUAGCUGGGGGCAUGCCAGUGAUACAGGAAGGGGUGGUCAGCAGCAGAGGAGCAGGUAUGCACCUGCUCUCUUGCAUUUUAAAGGUGCUGGUGAUGUGCUGCAAACCAUGCUUUGAAUUGCGAUUUGUGCUCAU